AUGCUUACCUGGCAGGGGAGACCAUGAUCACGAAGGUGGUUUUCCUAGGGUGAGGCUUUUCCAUGGCACUCUGGAUGUGCUGACCCCUAUGAUCUCCCCAAAUGUGGGAAACUUAACUGCAUAAUUUGUGGUAAUGGGGGACUGCGUUCACACUCUCCCCUG
rnacentral:snRNA from 1 species